GUAUCAAGAUAAAAAUAUUUUAAUGAGUUAAACAUGUAACAUUGUGCUUCUAGGCCUUAAAUGACCAUCAAUUAUAAGGCAAGACAACAUACACACACACACAGAAACAAACAGGUGAACAAAAUAAAAACAAUAUGCCACAGAAAAAAAAAAACAGUAAAAAUAACAAACUUAUUACAAUAUUAAAUUAACCUACUUAACAAAAUAAGAUAAUCAGUUUAGAAGUCUCUUUAGAAAAUACAAAUAGAGACUGAUUUUUAAUUAGGAAUAAGCAAGGAAUCACCAAAUUUAGUAAAAUAAAAAUGACAGUCUUUACACACACACAAAAUUAAUUUUAAUCAAGAGAGAAGAGACUUUUUUAUUUUAAACUUUUUUUUUUUUUAGCACAAUAAUAGCUCAAUGUUUUCUUGAACAUCUUGAACAGUUUACACCUCCAAAUAUAUACACUAAUAAUUUAUAAACAUUAAAACUAUCUUUCUUGACAAACAAGAUGAACAGUAGGACUGCUAAACAAUCUGAUCUAUACAUGUAUUCUGAUACAGUGCAUACAUGUGAUAAGCAAUGAAUGGAACACAGAAUACAUAAAAAUAUUUUGUUUAUAAGACCAGUUCAUUUAGAUUUAUCAAACAAAACAAUUCAUGGACACUUAAAGGUGUCUUAAGAUAGACUCUGCUUCAUGGGAGACUAGAGCAAAAGAAAGAGGAUCAUGCUGCUACACUGCAAGAGACUCAAAGACACUAGAAAAA